AACUCCCUCAGAUCUAAAUGUUGAUCUGGGUGGCUAAACAAGGAGGAAAAGUGCAACUGAAGUGGACUUGGAGUCUUCAAGGACAUACAAGUUCAUUUCAAACACUA
rnacentral:snoRNA from 1 species